rnacentral:rRNA from 1 species
UACGUAUGGUGCAAGCGUUAUCCGGAUUUACUGGGUGUAAAGGGAGCGUAGACGGCUGUGUAAGUCUGAAGUGAAAGCCUGGGGCUCAACCCCGGGACUGCUUUGGAAACUAUGCAGCUAGAGUGUCGGAGAGGUAAGUGGAAUUCCCAGUGUAGCGGUGAAAUGCGUAGAUAUUGGGAGGAACACCAGUGGCGAAGGCGGCUUACUGGACGAUGACUGACGUUGAGGCUCGAAAGCGUGGGGAGCAAACAGG